rnacentral:rRNA from 1 species
CGAGCGGUAGCACANGGAGCUUGCUCCUGGGUGACGAGCGGCGGACGGGUGAGUAAUGUCUGGGAAACUGCCUGAUGGAGGGGGAUAACUACUGGAAACGGUAGCUAAUACCGCAUAACGUCGCAAGACCAAAGAGGGGGACCUUCGGGCCUCUUGCCAUCAGAUGUGCCCAGAUGGGAUUAGCUAGUAGGUGGGGUAACGGCUCACCUAGGCGACGAUCCCUAGCUGGUCUGAGAGGAUGACCAGCCACACUGGAACUGAGACACGGUCCAGACUCCUACGGGAGGCAGCAGUGGGGAAUAUUGCACAAUGGGCGCAAGCCUGAUGCAGCCAUGCCGCGUGUAUGAAGAAGGCCUUCGGGUUGUAAAGUACUUUCAGCGGGGAGGAAGGNGAUGAGGUUAAUAACCUCNNNNAUUGACGUUACCCGCAGAAGAAGCACCGGCUAACUCCGUGCCAGCAGCCGCGGUAAUANGGAGGGUGCAAGCGUUAAUCGGAAUUACUGGGCGUAAAGCGCACGCAGGCGGUCUGUCAAGUCGGAUGUGAAAUCCCCGGGCUCAACCUGGGAACUGCAUUCGAAACUGGCAGGCUAGAGUCUUGUAGAGGGGGGUAGAAUUCCAGGUGUAGCGGUGAAAUGCGUANAGAUCUGGAGGAAUACCGGUGGCGAAGGCGGCCCCCUGGACAAAGACUGACGCUCAGGUGCGAAAGCGUGGGGAGCAAACAGGAUUAGAUACCCUGGNAGUCCACGCCGUAAACGAUGUCGACUUGGAGGUUGUGCCCUUGAGGCGUGGCUUCCGGAGCUAACGCGUUAAGUCGACCGCCUGGGGAGUACGGCCGCAAGGUUAAAACUCAAAUGAAUUGACGGG